CUCUAAACGAAGAUCUCUCUUGAGCGAACAGUUAGUUAGUUCUGUGUCGUCUUUCGUAGCGAAUACACCUCGCUUUAUAAUUGUCCAGAAUAAAGUAUUUCAAAUGAAACUUCGCUGGUCUCCCUGCGCCUUUUGGACGAAGGUGCGAGAGUACAAGAAGCUAUAUACGGUCACAACUAUACCCUGCGUGCCGAGAUUUCACGCCCAGACGGAAUGUACGGGAUUCGAGUUAAGAACUGCUUCGCGUUCAACAAGCUCAAUUCCAGCGUGCAGCUUAUAGAUGACAAGGG